AAAGUCGUAACAAGGUUUCCGUAGGUGAACCUGCGGAAGGAUCAUUAUCAUAAUCCUACCAUUAUCAACCAACCGUGAACUGUUAACUUGUUUGUCGUUUUUUGGUUUACGCUUGUUUUUUCAAGUGUUUUUAGCUGGGUUUACUCUCGGUUAAAUUUAUAAACUAAAAAACAUUAUUUUAACCCCUUUUAAUAACAUUUGUUUGAUGCAUGUGUUUCCUCCCUAGCCUAAAAAACUAGGAUGAAACCAAUCUUGUUUCUAAUGAAACUUUGAACAACUCUUAGCAACGGAUCUCUAGGCUCUC
rnacentral:misc_RNA from 1 species